rnacentral:rRNA from 1 species
CAGUGCCACGGUAAUACGUAGGUGGCAAGCGUUGUCCGGAAUUAUUGGGCGUAAAGGGCUCGCGGGCGGUUUCUUAAGUCUGAUGUGAAAGCCCCCGGCUCAACCGGGGAGGGUCAUUGGAAACUGGGAAACUUGAGUGCAGAAGAGGAGAGUGGAAUUCCACGUGUAGCGGUGAAAUGCGUAGAGAUGUGGAGGAACACCAGUGGCGAAGGCGACUCUCUGGUCUGUAACUGACGCCGAGGAGCGAAAGCGUGGGGAGCGAACAGGAUUAGAUACCCCCGUAGUCCCUGUCUCUUAUACA